AACACUUGCUUUUAGAAGAGGACAGAGACCCAGCUGCCAAACAUCUUCUCAGCUGUUUUUUAACUUGACGAUGACAUCAAAAAAUUUCAAGUUCUUCCUAACUUGGUGGCUAACCCAGCAGGUGACUGGCCUGACAGGGUCUUUCACGCUAGACAUGGCUCCAAAUGCAUUUGAUGAUCAGUAUGAGAGCUGUGUCGAAGACAUGGAGAAAAAGGCACCCCAGCUGUUACAAGAAGACUUCAACAUGAAUGAGGAAUUAAAACUUGAGUGGGAAAAAGCAGAGAUAAAAUGGAAGGAGAUCAAAAAUUGUAUGAGUUAUCCGGCAGGUUUCCAUGAUUUCCAUGGGACAGCUUUAGUUGCCUACACUGGGAACAUCCACAGAAGCCUUAAUGAGGCUACUAGAGAGUUCAAAAUAAAUCCUGGUAACUUCCACUACAAGGCCUUCCAUUACUACUUAACAAGAGCUCUUCAGCUUUUGAGUGACCAGGGUUGUCGUUCAGUUUACCGAGGUACUAAUGUCAGGUUUCGUUACACUGGGAAGGGCUCUGUGUGAUUUGGGCAUUUUGCAUCCUCUUCUUUAAACCGGAGUGUAGCUACUUCUAGUCCAUUUUUCAAUGGACAGGGGACAUUAUUUAUCAUCAAAACCUGCUUGGGGGCUCACAUCAAACAUUGUUCCUACUAUACUCAUGAAGAGGAGGUGUUAAUUCCAGGCUAUGAAGUAUUUCACAAAGUCAAAACACAAAGUGUCGAACGGUAUAUCCAAAUUUCUCUGGACUCCCCAAAAAGGAAGAAGAGCAACUUUAAUUGCUUCUAUAGCGGUUCUACUCAAGCAGCCAACGUUAGCAGCUUAGGAUCCAGAGAGAGCUGUGUAUCCCUGUUCCUUGUGGUUCUCCUCGGUCUUCUGGUCCAGCAGCUUACUCUUGCUGAGCUGUAGCCCUCUCCUGUGUGCAGUUUGUGGGUGUGAGUGUUAAAGGGAGGCCAAGGGGGCAAGCCCUGAUUGGUUGUUUAAGAACUGUGGAAGGGGGAAGGGUGGGGUUCUUUGAGGGGAGGUCUGCUUUAGCAUUCAUGACAUCUAUAAGCAUCCAAGGUAUCUUCUGGGUCUGUCUUGAAACUUUGCACUUUGACUUCAAAUUACGACUCUUUCCACACUUUGCUAUGAUCAAAAAGCAAUGUUUAUCUGCCUCGUCAGCAGUAAGAGAUUUAAAGUAUGCAAUUCGUGGUGAAUUUUAUAAUCUAGGGAAAUAAAAAUUUAUAAUCACA